GGGGAAUCUUGCACAAUGGGGGCAACCCUGAUGCAGCGACGCCGCGUGAGCGAUGAAGCCCUUCGGGGCGUAAAGCUCUUUCGACCGGAACGAUAAUGACGGUACCGGGAGAAGAAGCUGCGGCUAACUACGUGCCAGCAGCCGCGGUAAUACGUAGGACCCAAGCGUUGUCCGGAUUUACUGGGUGUAAAGGGUGCGCAGGCGGAUGGGUAAGUCAGGGGUGAAAGUCUGCAGCUUAACUGUAGAAUUGCCUUUGAUACUGCUCAUCUUGAGUGUGGGAGAGGUUGAUGGAAUUCCAGGUGUAGCAGUGAAAUGCGUAGAUAUCUGGAAGAACACCAGUGGCGAAGGCGGUCAACUGGCCCAUAACUGACGCUCAUGCACGAAAGCGUGGGGAGCAAACA
rnacentral:rRNA from 1 species